rnacentral:rRNA from 1 species
CAGGCCUAACACAUGCAAGUCGAACGCUAUUUUAUAGAGUGGCGCACGGGUGAGUAACGCGUGGGAAUCUGCCCUUCUGCCUGGGAUAACAGCUGGAAACGGCUGCUAAUACCGGAUACGCCCUUCGGGGGAAAGGUCCGCCGCAGAAGGAGGAGCCCGCGUCUGAUUAGCUUGUUGGUAGGGUAAUGGCCUACCAAGGCGACGAUCAGUAGCUGGUCUGAGAGGAUGAUCAGCCACACUGGGACUGAGACACGGCCCAGACUCCUACGGGAGGCAGCAGUGGGGAAUAUUGGACAAAGGGGGAAACCCUGAUCCAGCAAUGCCGCGUGUGUGAUGAAGGCCUUAGGGUUGUAAAGCACUUUCACUGGUGAAGACGAUGACGGUAACCAGAGAAGAAGCCCCGGCUAAUUUCGUGCCAGCAGCCGCGGUAAUACGAAGGGGGCGAGCGUUGUUCGGAAUUACUGGGCGUAAAGGGAGCGCAGGCGGUUCAUUAAGUUAGGCGUGAAAGCCCCGGGCUCAACCUGGGAACUGCGCUUAAUACUGAUGAACUAGAAAACAGGAGAGGGUAGUGGAAUUUCCAGUGUAGAGGUGAAAUUCGUAGGUAUUGGAAAGAACACCGGUGGCGAAAGCGGCUACCUGGCCUGAUUUU